GACGAACGCUGGCGGCGUGCCUAAUACAUGCAAGUCGAACGCAGUGGGGACGGGUGAGUAACACGUGGGUAACCUCCCAUCAGAGGGGAUAACACUUGGAAACAGGUGCUAAACCGAUACUGAUGGAUGGACCCGCGGUGCAUUAGCUAGUUGGUGAGGUAACGGCUCACCAAGGCCACGAUGCAUAGCCCGCCUGAGAGGGUGAUCCGCCACACUGGGACUGAGACACGGCCCAGACUCCUACGGGAGGCAGCAGUGGGGAAUUUUCAGCAAUGGGCGAAAGUCUGACCGAGCAACGCCGCGUGGAUGAAGAAGGUUUUCGGAUCGUAAAACACUGUUGGUAGGGAGGCGGUAUCUAACCAGAAAGCCACGGCUAACUACGUGCCAGCAGCCGCGGUAAUUC
rnacentral:rRNA from 1 species